rnacentral:lncRNA from 1 species
GGCGGUUGAAGGUUGGCAAUGGACGGGCAAACGGAGGCUAGCUGCGGUGGUAACAAGUUGCCAGGGAUCAUCGGAGAAGGGGGGCGUUCAUGGGCGAAGGUAGCCCAGGGCCCACCUAGAAAGGUGGGGUGGAUCUUGUGCAAGAUUUCAGCGAUGGAAGUCGAGCAGCUCCAAUGCUACUUCUCGACGGUUUUGGACUUCCCGGAAGAUGAGAUGGAGGAGCGGGGGAAGUGGGAGAAAGUAUUGGUAUUGGCCUAGAGUUUUGGCCGGCGAGUUCCGAUUGAGUGGAUCUUAAAGGACUUUAAGGAGCAAGGGAAGCUGCAGGGGAGUGUGGAAUCUUUUUCACUAGCUGAAGAGCACUUGUUCUUCCGUUUUCAGUUGGAGGAGAGGGAUACCAUCCUGAAUGGAGGGCCGUGGAUUGUAGUCGGCCAGCUUCUCGCGAUUGAACCUUGGGUGUUGGACUUCAUGUUGGGGAUGGAUCUAGUUACAAGAACUACUAUUUGGCUGCGUCUCCCUUCCCUUCUGAUGGAGUUCUGAUGUUUAAAGAGAAUUUAGGGCAUCAUGGAGGUGGUCGGGAAGUCGGUGAGCAUUGAUGAUUUUACAGAGCAGCUCCAGAAGAUCGGAUUUGCCUGGAUCAAGGUGGAGAUUGACUCAUUGAAGCUGUUGAAGCUUGGAGUAUUGAUAAAGGAGAAGAAAAAAACCUUAUGGCAGCUGUUCAUCUAUGAGAACCUUUCGAUAGUUUGCUUCUCAUGUGGGCGGAUUGGCCACAGCGAGGUGUGCAGUUCUUGUUAGUUGAGGGUGUUCUCUGAUCGAAAAAUGUGGUGGAGGCUAAUCUGCUGCCGAUGAAAGUCUCGAUCGAGCCAGAGGCAGGAGCGCCUAGGCCGUCCGACUGGGGAGGAUUUGGCGGUGUUGCCCUGUCCUCGGCUGGGGCCUUGGGUGGUGACCUCUCGUAUCCGGUCACCUCGGGUUUCAGAUGGUGGCCAGAAAGGAAAUAGGGAUGGCGAGUCUCAUCGUGAUGUGUCGGCCCCAAAAUUGGGUUAGAUGGAUUCACCUCCUAAAUAGCCGACUUGGUCUGAUCCCCCCUGACUCUUGAGGGUUAGCAAAAGCCCUUGAAGGUGGCUCGCCAUCAAUCGUCGGAUUAGUGUGUCGGUCGGUGAGACUUGGGGAUUUCGGUGAGCAGUGAGUCAACUCAAUCCGAGUCACCCUUUGCGGUCCUGGUGGACUCAGGCCUAGCCCCAGUAGACAUGGAUCUGGGCCUGGUGGUGUGCCUCGUGGAACUGGAUUUGCCCAUGUUGGAAGCGGGCUCUGGCUCGGCCCAUCUUAAACAGGCUCGGAGUCUGGGCAAGGGGAAAUCGCCUGGUCCAAAGUUGAAGGGUGGGCUUGGAGGGCUGUAGGUCCAACAAGUGAUCAAGUAGGGCUCCAGCCCAUCAUCUUCAGCCUUGGUGGCCGCCGGCAGCUCUGCGAGGUGGUGCGAGUGUGAAGGGCAGGUGUUGGCCGGUGGCGCACUGGAACCAUCCAAUCUCUAGUCCAGCUUUGAGGAGGGGGCUCCGACGGCAAUGAAGGGUGGUGUGGUGUUGUGGCCCUGGGUCGGCAGGCUGAGGGCAGUGGAAGCACCGGGGUAGUGGAUCGGGCGGCUGAAGCAGUGCUUGUCCUCACGGCAGUGGGGAGGACCGUCGUCACCACCCAACCAUCACGGACUAGCAGCAUGAAGUCUGGAGAGGUGGUCUCUUCUCAUGACAAAUGGGGUUCUUUCGAUGGGAUGGGGUCCGAGGGGAAAGGUGUGGCGUUGGGGCAGUCCUCCUUGGUGGUCGGUCCGAAAGAGCCAACAACUCGAGCGGAGUCCGGUGGACUAACGGUUGAUGGGCAUUUUCC